rnacentral:rRNA from 1 species
UACGUAGGGGGCAAGCGUUGUCCGGAAUCAUUGGGCGUAAAGCGCGCGUAGGUGGCCCAGUAAGUCCGUUGUGAAAGUCAAAGGCUCAACCUUUGAAAGCCGAUGGAUACUGCUGGGCUCGAGUCCGGAAGAGGCGAGUGGAAUUCCUGGUGUAGCGGUGGAAUGCGCAGAUAUCAAGAGGAACACCUGAGGUGAAGACGGGUUGCUGGGCUGACACUGACGCUGAGGCGCGAAAGCCAGGGGAGCAAACGGG